GUGCUUGCUUCAGCAACACUUACACUGAAGCUGGAACAAUACAGGGAAAAUUUGUUUGGCCCCUGGGCAUGAAUGGCAUGCCAGUACAUGAAGUGCUCUGUUUUCAC
ensembl:snRNA U6 U6 spliceosomal RNA